AUUCCAGCUCCAAUAGCGUAUAUUAAAGUUGUUGCAGUUAAAAAGCUCGUAGUUGAAUUUCGGAGGAGAGAGCUCGGUCUCGGUUCUGCCGUGUACUGAGCGUCUCGAAUCUUUUUUCUGGGGAAACAGGGUGUCCUUUACUGGGUGCUCUGGGGAACCAGGACGAUUACCUUGAGAAAAAUAGAGUGUUCAAAGCAGGCGAUUGCUUGAAUACGUUAGCAUGGAAUAAUAAAAUAGGACUUUGGUUCUAUUUUGUUGGUUUUAAGGACCAAUGUCAUGAUGAAUAGGGACAGUUGGGGGCAUUCGUAUUCCGAAGCUAGAGGUGAAAUUCUUGGAUUUUCGGAAGACGAACUACUGCGAAAGCAUUUGCCAAGGAUGUUUUCAUUA
rnacentral:rRNA from 1 species